CUCAACUUUACUUGGGGCACCUUAAUCGGAGGCAGCCGCAUAGGAACUGUAGCCGCAAAACUAAUCGACGGCUAUGAUGGCUCAUGUUAUGUGAUAAUGAAAUUCCGUCGGUAAGUUAGAGCUAUGAAAACGGUUCCCAUGUAUACAGCAGGUAUUAAAUAGCUAACAAGAAGAUUCGUCUAAUAUUACACGUAUGCAUGUAUUAACCACCUGUUGUUCGAUUGACAACAACUCAAGGCUUUUCCCGCAGCGGCAGCAUCACCUGUCAGCUUCGCCCGUUGAUCAUUUUCUUCCGUUUGAUGGCACCCGAAUAAUAUCACAGUUAACAAUAACACGCUUGAAAGCGCAACCGUUACACGUUACUCGUUUCAAAAAUCAGGAAUUCGAGUAGCGUGUUUUGAUUGAAACUCUUUGGAACCUAUUUUGCAUAUGUUGCGCAUCUUUUACAAGGUCGCGUUAAGUCAGGCUAACGGCUUUCGGCAGACCUUUUACGGGGACAGAUUGCGAAUGGCAGAGGACUGGGCGUGCAUCCCAUGAUGAAAAAGCUGCUGGUAUCGACCGUCGUCGAACUUGACCUUCCUGUCAAUUCCGUUUGAUGAAAUCAUUUUUAAUUUCUUUAAUUAUAUCAAAGGUGGCGAGUCUUACGCGUAACAGUAAUUGUGGUGGUCAAAGUAACAGUCGAUGGCCGGAUGGCGUCAAAAAUCGAAUUGGCGAAAGCGGCCAGCUGGGCAAAGUAAAUUCGUGGCUGCGGAUCGUCAUCGUUCAUCCUCGCCUGACGGCCCAUUUGCCUCUGUAAAUCAUUCAACUUGUGAUUGAUCGAUGACUCGAUAACGUCCAUCGUUUCGGGCGAAUUGGAAUUCGGGCGACGAUGCAAACUGUCCGGAUGCUCUUCAAUGCCAUCCGGCAACACCACCAAAGGUGUUACCUCCACACUACACGGCAGCGUUCUAGUAGCCACAAACUGUCCUGGAUGGAGUACCCGUUGAAACGCAUCGUCAAUGGACUCAUCCAGUUGGUCGUCGAACGAAAGGAUGACGGGCUCGUCAAUCAAAAGUCCACGACGACGCCGGCACAAGCCCGUCACAUUUACCAAUUUAGCGCAAACAAACUGGACCGUAACGUUCCUAAUUCAUUAAAAGUGGCAACAUUGUCAUUGGUUUGUUGUUCGACUUACCUUGCUGGUGACAGUGACGGUUGACGUCAGCGUCGAUGUGGAUGUCAACGUAGUUGUCCUUUGAGCAUCUGCUAAUGAAGCUACCAAAGUGAACAGAAUAGUGUACUUCAUCAUUUUGUGGUUAGACUAGAAGACUUUGUGUUUCUCCAACAUUUCCAAGUGUCAAAGGCUCCUCUUCCGUCCCACUGCUGGUAUCGAAAGGUCAGUUGCGACUGCGGUGUCUUACCGAUCCGUUCUAGCCAAGCAAAUGUCAUGUAAGGUCUCGCAACAAUCUUCCUUAUGUAACUUAUUCUUUUUUUUUGUAUCUGUCGAUUCUCCUCCCUCCCAAUAUCAACCCAUCUCUUUGAAUGGCCAUGUUGUCUUUAUUGACGGUCUGUACUGCCUUGCGUUAAAAACGGCACAGCACGCAAUCACUGAUAAAUCAGUUUGGAAUUAUGCGCAUUCCAUACGUUCGGAUUCCCGCUUCUGCUCCGGCAUACCUCGACGAAUCCAGACGAAAAGAGUUACUUUUUUGAACUGCCAAUUUUCUCUCCUCGCUCCAAUAUCGUCAAUAUUCAACAGUCAGCCGUUUAGCGGCUUUUGGUGUUGCAAAUCUUGACUGGUGUUUGAUCGUUUAUGACUUAAUACGGCGUUGGCCAAUUCCCUCACCCCUAUUUAAAAAAAUUGGAAGUUCGAUUCCGUUCAACCACCGACGGUAACUUACAGCUGAACUUUGGAGAAUUUCAGAAAUUUGCGUCACAAUUUGGCUAUAGUAAAUUCAUAGACAUUCAAAUAUGGAACUUUGGAUCGACGCAAUUCAGCAGUUCGCUUAACGGGGAACAUUUGCUCAGUGUCAGUAAAACAGAAAUGCCAUAAAUCAUCCCAAGACAAUCCCGGACAUUGAACGCGUAGCCGCGAUCACGGGCUGAUUUAUCGCGGAAUCUAUAUGCCCCACUCGCUGUACGUAUGUACCAUGACUUUGCUGGUUACAUAUCUGAUAGGCAAUCUUAUAUAGCUUGAGUGAAUAAUUUUAGUCAAAUGAUUUCUUACCUGUGCGGAAAACAAACGGAAUCUAUGGUGCUAUCCAUUUCGGUCGUUCCAAACACAUGAGCGGUCAUCGUGUACGUACUCUAUUGGAAGAUGAAUAAUUGAUGAACAACUCCAGGAGGAGAGAAAACAUUUUUGGAAAUUUUGCCUGAAAGAAAAGCGCUGACGAUUUAUUGUUGCUUUUCAUUUCGUUGACUUUAUCUACAAAGACGUCGUGUAUAGGUAUAUCUCGGGUUAUCUCAAUCCCAAUAUACUCUCCGGCUAACAAGUGUCUAGCAGUUCCACUCACGUUUGUACAUCUGUAGGCGAAAUUUCUUGGUUCCCACAGCAUUAUUGAUUUUGUGUAUCUCACCAUGGAGAGCAAGG